ACUAGUCUGGGUACUGGGAAAUGUGGGUUCCAGUUGCACAAUAGCAACAUUGUAGCUGAAAUUCCAGUAAGCGUGUGAAACCUCCCAGAGGAUGUAAGGCUCAUGGGAGGACAUUAGUAAACGCCUCUGAAGCUCUCACACGGGGCUCCUUGGCGACAGGUGGAAACCAGAGGACUACCAUCCUUAGGUUACUGUAGUGGGGCUUACUUUUUAUUACAGGAACCUAUGCCUGACACUACCCUCUGCAGUGGUUUGUCUCCUGUUUAUUCUUUGUGGCUGAUUUUGUCCUGUAACAGCUACUCAGCGACCAUCGGACACCCGCCUUUACGCAUCACUGCCUAGGCUGUGCGCCCUGUGUCUGCUUCCACGCCCCCGGCUAGAGGUCAGUCAGUGGCCUCUCCCAGCUGCAGGGGAGGCUGGGAAACGUAGCCUUUCUUUCAGCCACAUAAGGAGAUCUGCUGAGGAAGGAGGAGGGCACAGAUGUCAGGGUGGGGGGUCCCUAGCGCUCUCUUCCACCCACCCACUAACACCCCAUCCAUCCUGCGAGGCCUGGUACAGGUGUCACGUGCUCUGUGAGGGCUUCCCACUUCUCCCCUGGUCUCCCCGUCACUCCUCCUCGGAAGUCCCACUUCUGCUUCUACUUGCUAAAAAGCCUUGUGAGCGCAAGGUCCACGAACUACUCAGGUCUCAUUCUAAACUGCCAAUCAAGUCCGGAUCCACGGACAUCCAUGCCUCCCCUUUGUACGUGUGGCCCACAUGUGACUCAAUUUUGAACUUUCAAGGACUGGACAUUUACUUUUGGGUGCAGAACCCGAGACGUGUGUGGCAGUUUGCAGCCAAAGACCCUUGGACUUCCAGUAAAACCAGCAAGAGGAAUCGAUGCUAUUUUCAAUAUAUAUUUAAGUUACAAUAUAUAUUAAGCUAAUAAAUUUUAUGCAGAACCUGAAUUGGUAUACAAGUCAAAAUAGGUUGUCUCUCUAAAUGACAUCAUUUCCAUGUGGUUACACUGGCUGACCAUGCCGAUCAGAAGCUUUGUUUGGCGGUUGUCUGUAUAGAGCUCCAAGGCUGAAGGGGUCUCUGGUUAAAAAUUAAAAAAAAAAAAGAAAAAAAAAUGGGAGACACUAUCCUAGGUGCUCAGGAAACAUUUUUUAAUGAAUGUAUGAUGGAGCUGUUAUUUCUUUCAAAAAAUUAGGCCCACACUCCUCAUUUGUAAUUCUGAAGACUGAAAGCUCUUAAAACCAAAAGUUAUUCUGUAAGUUUGGCACAAAACUUAUUUUGCAGCAAAAUCUGGCUUGAACUAAGUUGUGUCAUAACAUUCCUCCCGAAAUAUCUGCCGAGGGCUGGUGUUUUGUUGCUUUUUUUGUUGUUGUUCUUUUGUAACCAUGAAAACGUCAGAGUCAAGGAUACCCUGUUGUCACAGCGAGAAGAUGAAAAGAAAAGCAUCUCCCGUGAACAGCAGGAGAGAGUGAGGUUCUUACAGAAGCUUGAGCCUGGUGUCUGUGAGGCAUUUCAAUGCAGAUCAUGGCGCAGAAGCAUUAUUAUGUAUAACUUAAAGAAACAGGAGUCAUUUAAGGUGUACAGUGAUGAUGAACAAAAACAAAAAUAGGAGAACACUGCUUAGGACAUAAGUCUGAGAUCUGGAACAUGUUUUGGUUGCGUGGAUCCAAUGCAAAGGGAACAUGUGACCAGAAUCUCGCUAGACUGUGCCGUGAAGAACGGACCCUGAAGUGUGCGUGAGAACCUUUUAUAGAUCAGCUACAGAGACUGAGGCUCAUCGCUGUGUAAAGUAACCUGAAGAUCAACUGGAAAACGCUUCUAAUGAUCAGAAAGUGUCAGAAAAUUGAUAGUGAGUUUGAUAAAGGCAUAGCUCAUUAAAAAAAAAAAAACUCAUUCUUCAGCAAAUUGCAAUGCUGAUGAAACAGAUCUUUCCUG